rnacentral:rRNA from 1 species
ACAGAGGGUGCAAACGUUGUUCGGAAUUACUGGGCAUAAAGCGCACGUAGGCGGCCAAGUAAGUGUGAAGUGAAAUCCCACGGCUCACCCGUGGAACUGCUUUGCAUACUGCUUGGCUAGAGGAAGGUAGGGGAGAGCAGAACUCUUGGAGGAGCGGUGAAAUGCGUAGAUAUCAAGAGGAAUACCAGUGGCGAAGGCGGCUCUCUGGUCCUUUACUGACGCUGAGGUGCGAAAGCUAGGGUAGCGAACGGG